GAGCACGUAGGUGGGUUUGUAAGUCAGAUGUGAAAGCCUUCUGUUCAACGGAAGAAUUGCAUCUGAAACUGCGAGUCUUGAGUGUAGGAGGGGAGAAUGGAACUUCUGGUGGAGCGGUGAAAUGCGUAGAUAUCAGAAGGAACUCCGGCGGCGAAAGCGAUUCUCUGGCCUAUUACUGACACUCAGUGUGCGAAAGCUAGGGGAGCAAACGGGAUUAGAUACCCCGGUAGUCCCAGCCGUAAACGAUGGGCACUAAGUAGAGGGGUUUU
rnacentral:rRNA from 1 species